CAUGGAUGGCUCGUGACACCAAAUGAUACAGAGAAGAUAAGCAUAGGCUCUGCACCAGAUGACACACAAAUGCAUGAAGUGUUUCAUUUUUUU
ensembl:snRNA U6 U6 spliceosomal RNA